rnacentral:rRNA from 1 species
AUUCCGGUUGAUCCUGCCGGAGGAUACUGCUAUUCGGAUCCGACUAAGCCAUGCGAGUCGAGAGGGGUAAGCCCUCGGCGAACUGCUCAGUAAUAUGUAGCUAACCUACCCUUAGGUCGGGGAUAACCUCGGGAAACUGAGUUCAAUACCCGAUAGGAGUUUAGCUCUGGAAUGACUAAACUCCCAAAGCUCCGGCGCCUAAGGAUGGGGCUACAUCUCAUCAGCCUGUUGGGGGUGUAACGAACCCUCAAAGCUAUAACGGGUACGGGCCGUGAGAGCGGAAGCCCGGAGAUGGAUUCUGAGACAUGAAUCCAGGUCCUACGGGACGCAGCAGGCGCGAAACCUUCGCAAUGUGCUAACGCACGACGAGGGGAUCCGAAGUGCUACAGCACUGCUGUAGCUUUUGCCGAGUCCAAACAGCUCGGCGAAUAAGGGGUGGGUAAGACAGGUGCCAGCCGCCGCGGUAAUACCUGCGCCCCAAGUGGUAUCCAGUAUUAUUGGGCCUAAAGCGUCCGUAGCCGGUCUGGCAAGUCUUCGGUGAAAUUCACUAGUAAACUAGUGAGCUUGUCGGAGAUACUGCCAGACUUGGGACCGGGAGAGGGUAGGGGUACUCCUAGGGGAGGGGUAAAAUCCUAUAAUCCUAGGGGGACCACCGGUGGCGAAGGCGCCUACCUAGAACGGUUCCGACGGUGAGGAACGAAAGCUAGGGGAGCGAUCGGGAUUAGAUACCCCGGUAGUCCUAGCCGUAAACGAUGCCCGCUUGGUGUUGCAAUCUUCUCGCGAGAUUGCAGUGCCGGAAUGUAGAUGUUAAGCGGGCCGCCUGGGGAGUACGGCCGCAAGGUUGAAACUUAAGGGAAUUGGCGGGGGAGCACACAAGGGGUGGAGGCUGCGGUUCAAUUGGAUCCAACGCCGGAAAUCUUACGGGGAUCGACAGCAGAAUGAAGGUCAGUCUAAAGGGCUUACCUGACAAGCUGAGAGGUAUUGCAUGGCCAUCGUCAGUUCGUACCGUGAGGCGUGCGGUUAAGUCCGUUAACGAACGAGACCCGCGCCCCAUGUUGCUACUCUGCAAAGAGGCACUCAUGGGGGACCGCUGGUGAUAAACCAGAGGAAGGUGCGGGCGACGGUAGGUCAGUAUGGUCCGAAUUUCCCCGGCUACACGCGGCCUACAAUGUCUGAGACAAUGGGAUGCAACCCCGUGAGGGGAAGCCAACCCCCUAAACUCAGACUUAGUACAGAUCGAGGGUUGUAACUCACCCUCGUGAAGCUGGAAUCCCUAGUAAACGAACGUCACUAUCGUUCGUUGAAUCCGUCCCCGCUCCUUGCACACACCGCCCGUCAAGCCAUCCGAGUGGAUCCCAAACGAGGCCUUGCCCCAGUGGCUUGGUCAAGUUUGGGUUCUGCGAGGGGGGCUAAGUCGCAACAAGGUAGCCGUACGGGAACGUGCGGCUGGAUCACCUCCU